rnacentral:rRNA from 1 species
GGCUAGCGUUGUUCGGAAUUACUGGGCGUAAAGCGCGCGCAGGCGGUCUUCCAAGUCAGUGGUGAAAGCCCGGAGCUCAACUCCGGAACUGCCAUUGAAACUGUGAGACUUGAGUAUGAGAGAGGUGAGUGGAAUUCCCAGUGUAGAGGUGAAAUUCGUAGAUAUUGGGAAGAACACCGGUGGCGAAGGCGGCUCACUGGCUCAUUACUGACGCUCAGGCGCGACAGCGUGGGGAUCAAACAGG